CAUGGUUUAAGAAAUUAAUAUAUAAUAGGUUUAAUUUAAUUUAAUUUAACCGAUCGAUCGAUCGAUCUAUCGAUGAUAAAUUAAUCCGGUCUGCCUGCCUGCCUGACUGACUGACCCUGGAAUGCCUGGAUGGGAAUAUGAUGCAAUUAACUGUAACAGCGACCUAACAGGCAUCAUCAAAAGAGAGAUCGAGAUAUAUAUGCCGCGAGCGCCGCGUUCUUCGAUCUCAGACUCAGAUGAACGUAAUUUUGCAUAAUUGCAUGCACGGAAAUUACCAGACAGAGAGGCAAAAGAGGGGGCACGGCGGCGUAUCGGGAGGAGUCUGUCUGUGACCUUCAUCGGAAAUCGAACUGGUCAAAGUCAUAUGUCCUAUCAGCAAUUACCCAAAACAUGCAUAUGAUGAUCCUUUCGGCAGAAUGGCAGAUUUAGGAGGAGGAGGAGAAGAUGAAAAACAGUGGAUACGUCACUGCCCAAACUACCCGUUUCUUUUCAUGGAAGUUUGGG
rnacentral:lncRNA from 1 species